UGCGGGGGGGGCAAGCGUUGUUCGGAAUUACUGGGCGUAAAGGGCUCGUAGGCGGCCAACUAAGUCCGACGUGAAAUCCCCAGGCUUAACCUGGGAACUGCGUCGGAUACUGGUUGGCUUGAAUCCGGGAGAGGGAUGCGGAAUUCCAGGUGUAGCGGUGAAAUGCGUAGAUAUCUGGAGGAACACCGGUGGCGAAGGCGGCAUCCUGGGCCGGUAUUGACGCUGAGGAGCGAAAGCCAGGGGAGCAAACGGGG
rnacentral:rRNA from 1 species